CGUUGAGAUACCACCCUUGUAUACGUAUGCCUCUAACUCAGCAUCAUGUUCAUAAUAUGAUGCUUGGCUAAUUUGAAAUUAAAAUAGCAACAAACCUAUUUUACUGUCACUACACAGUCCUGAAUCCUAUCAUUAUUGAUAUGAUGCUGGGGACCGUGCUUGGUGGGGAGUUUAACUGGGGCGGUUGCCUCCUAAAACGUAACGGAGGCGCACAAAGGUAGGCUAGGUCCGGAUGGAAAUCGGACUGAUAGUGUAUUCGCACAAGCCUGCUUGACUGAGAGACCUACAAGUCGAUCAGAGACGAAAGUCGGUGAAAGUGAUCCGGCACCAACAUGUGGGAGUGGUGUCGCUCAACGGAUAAAAGUUA
rnacentral:rRNA from 1 species